rnacentral:rRNA from 1 species
UACAGAGGUCUCAAGCGUUGUUCGGAUUCAUUGGGCGUAAAGGGUGCGUAGGUGGCGCCGUAAGUCGGGUGUGAAAUUUCGGAGCUUAACUCCGAAACUGCAUUCGAUACUGCGGUGCUUGAGGACUGGAGAGGAGACUGGAAUUCAUGGUGUAGCAGUGAAAUGCGUAGAGAUCAUGAGGAAGACCAGUGGCGAAGGCGGGUCUCUGGACAGUUCCUGACAUGAGGCACGAAGGCCAGGGGAGCAAACGGG